AUCAGUGUGAUCAGAAACCAACGUCCUUAAAACUCCGGCACACAGUUGUACACGUCAUCUAAAGACUUAAAAAUAUAUCCUCUAUAUUGACGAAGAUAACAUGAUAUGCCUUCUAGUUUUCAGCUGCCUCUCAGGUGUGUGUCUGGGUCUUGAUGUCCGGCAGUCUCCCUCUGAUCUCAUCACCAAAUCUGGAGACAAAGUGGAGAUAUUCUGCAGCCAUGAUAAAACUGACUACAGGGUGAUGCUCUGGUACCAGCGCUCACCUGGAGACACGGCUAUGAAACUCAUUGGAUAUUUGAACUACAAAGCUGCCACAAAGGAAGAGCCAUAUAAAGAACAUUUUAAUAUGUCUGGAGAUUUGAGUGGAGAUACAGCAAAGAACGCCUCUCUAAUAUUCAGAUCUGGAUUUCAGCACAGUGCAGUGUAUUACUGUGCAGCCAGCUUAGCACAGUGACUG